rnacentral:rRNA from 1 species
AUGCAAAUUCAUGACAAUAAUAAAAAAUUUAUUGAUGCAACAGUGGGUACUAGACCGGAGGAGCAAUGGAGGUUGACUGGGUUUUAUGGCGAGCCACGUUGGGUGGAUAAACAUCUUUCCUGGACUUAUCUCCGUGGUCUAGCCCAACAAACACAAAUCCCAUGGGUGGUCUUGGGAGACUUUAAUGAGAUUUUGUAUUCCCAUGAGAAGGAGGGUGGUGCUUCGCGCCCUGUUUCUAUGAUGCAGAGAUUUAGAUAUGCUUUUGUUGACUGUCAAUUGGGGGAUAUGGGGUUCUUGGGAGACCAAUUCACUUGGAGGCAUCGCCGGCUACAUGAACGCCUAGAUAGAGCGGUAUGUAAUGGCCCCUUCCGUGGGUUGUUCCUAGGUGUGAUUGUUACAAAUGCUCCGCAUAUAAAAUCAGACGACAUGCCGAUUGUA